rnacentral:rRNA from 1 species
GUCGCAAGACCAAAGUGGGGGACCUUCGGGCCUCAUGCCAUCAGAUGUGCCCAGAUGGGAUUAGCUAGUAGGUGGGGUAACGGCUCACCUAGGCGACGAUCCCUAGCUGGUCUGAGAGGAUGACCAGCCACACUGGAACUGAGACACGGUCCAGACUCCUACGGGAGGCAGCAGUGGGGAAUAUUGCACAAUGGGCGCAAGCCUGAUGCAGCCAUGCCGCGUGUGUGAAGAAGGCCUUCGGGUUGUAAAGCACUUUCAGCGGGGAGGAAGGCGGUGAGGUUAAUAACCUCAUCGAUUGACGUUACCCGCAGAAGAAGCACCGGCUAACUCCGUGCCAGCAGCCGCGGUAAUACGGAGGGUGCAAGCGUUAAUCGGAAUUACUGGGCGUAAAGCGCACGCAGGCGGUCUGUCAAGUCGGAUGUGAAAUCCCCGGGCUCAACCUGGGAACUGCAUUCGAAACUGGCAGGCUAGAGUCUUGUAGAGGGGGGUAGAAUUCCAGGUGUAGCGGUGAAAUGCGUAGAGAUCUGGAGGAAUACCGGUGGCGAAGGCGGCCCCCUGGACAAAGACUGACGCUCAGGUGCGAAAGCGUGGGGAGCAAACAGGAUUAGAUACCCUGGUAGUCCACGCCGUAAACGAUGUCGAUUUGGAGGUUGUGCCCUUGAGGCGUGGCUUCCGGAGCUAACGCGUUAAAUCGACCGCCUGGGGAGUACGGCCGCAAGGUUAAAACUCAAAUGAAUUGACGGGGGCCCGCACAAGCGGUGGAGCAUGUGGUUUAAUUCGAUGCAACGCGAAGAACCUUACCUGGUCUUGACAUCCACAGAACUUUCCAGAGAUGGAUUGGUGCCUUCGGGAACUGUGAGACAGGUGCUGCAUGGCUGUCGUCAGCUCGUGUUGUGAAAUGUUGGGUUAAGUCCCGCAACGAGCGCAACCCUUAUCCUUUGUUGCCAGC